CGUGUUUCACGACGGCGUAUUAAUAAGCAUUGGAAAAGAAAUCAACUGAGAUUGCCUUAGUAAUGGCGAAUGAACCGGCAAAAGCUCAUUGCUGAAGCGUGUUAAAUUUAUUUUUGACAUGCAUUGUAGCAUUUGGGGUGACUAUUGUAUGGUACCUGUUCGUGUGAGUUCCUUUGAUCAGGGCUUUAACCAUAGAAGGUGCUAGUCCUAUAAUCACGAAUAGUUUUGUACUGUACAUUGUACACCUUUCGAGUAGCGUAGUUUGAGAUUGCUACGCCAACGUGGGACGUAAACUUGUUCCAAAUCUAAAUAUAAUAACGAGACCGAUAGCGAACAAGUACCGUGAGGGAAAGUUGAAAAGCACUCUGAAGAGAGAGUUAAAUAGUACGUAAAACCGUACAGAAGAAAACGAAUGGCCGCAUUCAUCAGAUUAUUUUGAAUUCAAUUCGAUCUCUAUAUGAUGGUAAUACAUGUCAAUAUUGGAACAUCAAAAGUCCAUUGAUAUGUUCUAUUGCCUAGAGUCGGAUGCAUUUUCAAAAUAUGAACUGAACCUGGAUCUAUAAUAUUGAAAGCUAAUCGAAUCAGUCUAUUUUGGUAGCGAGUCUAACUCGCGUUAAAAAUAUGACUUGCAUAAAUAACAAAUUCGAUUUGGCGUUAUAGGUAAAUAGACAUGUUCUUUGAUUUCAGUACUCAUUCGUGAGUACGGCUUGCUAUAAGCAUGGUCUGUAUCAUAUGAUUAACUAAUAUCUAAAAAAUGUUAGCUCAGAUUCAUAAUUUGAGGUCUAACCUCUUACUACGUCGCCGUUAAUAUGGGCAUACCCUGUUAGUAUCUUUUCCUCCCGCAUUAUAUGAGAUCGCCGUCGUGCAACACG
rnacentral:rRNA from 1 species